CUGGAAUUUGGAAUUGCCCUGCAUGUGGCAGACAGUGCUGCUGAACAUAACUGAAGUUAUAGGUUCUAUACUGUUGCAUCUGGCAAAACUUCAUCUGCUGGUGAGACAUGAGGGUUCCUGUUACAUCUUUUUUAGGGGAAAACAAAGCCUCCUUUUCAAGAAUUCAGAAUUUUCAACGGUGAAGUUUUAUGGCCUCUUGCCCACAGUGAUUUGAUCCCUAAGAAUUUGGCAGUGGUAAAGCACUAUGCAUUUCAGAAGGUUUUGGAACCAAAGAAGGUUGAACCCAGGUGGAAGUUGGCCUCAUCUCCCAGGUAAAUAGCGCCAGGGUGACAGGAACAGAGGGCAUGGCCACAAGCUGUACCAGGGCAGGUUUCGGUUGGACAUCAG
rnacentral:lncRNA from 1 species